rnacentral:rRNA from 1 species
CCGCGCGAAGGUAGCGUAAUCACUUGUCUUCUAAAUAAAGACUAGUAUGAACGGCCACACGAGGACUUGACUGUCUCCCCUGUCCAAUCAGUGAAACUGAUCCCCUCGUGCAGAAGCGAGGAUAUACCCAUAAGACGAGAAGACCCUAUGGAGCUUUAAACUCAAUAUUAAUUACCUUUUAACCCCCCUCUAAGGAACUAACAAAUAAUUUUAAAACUUAAUAUUAGUUUUAGGUUGGGGCGACCAUGGAGAAAAAAAUAUCCUCCCUGAUGAUCUUCUAACCAAGAGCCACAGCUCCAAGUAUUAAGAUACUUAACUCCCAUUGACCCAUUUUGUGAUCAACGAACCAAGUUACCCUAGGGAUAACAGCGCAAUCCAUUUCAAGAGUCCCUAUCGACAAAUGGGUUUACGACCUCGAUGUUGGAUCAGGGCAUCCUA